GUGAAGGCUUUCCUUGCAGGUGCCAGAGGAUAGAGCACUGAUCAGAGAUGCAAGUCCUGCCACUGGCCCACUGUGUAAAACGUGGGAGUCUGAAUUAACUUCCCUCCUCUAAAAUGGCUUCUUCGAGCAACUCCACUGCAGGAAAGUGAGUUAAUCAGGAUGAGUUCUUCAUGGAAUUCCUGCCCAAGAUGACUGCCGAACAUACCUAAGACUGAUCGGGGGAAGAAAGUACUGGACCCAGACUAGAAGGUGUCGAACAUGUGGAAGGAAUACCUGGAGUUCUAAGCUGUAAGCAGGAGCAGUUUGUCUUCAAGAAACUCUACAACCUGCUUAAAACAUCAU